GCAGGGCCAGAGAGUUGCCUGCUGCCACUCAAAGCAAGCAGAGGAGGGGUGGAUUCAGGGGUUAACCCGAUGGGAGGGUGUGUGUGUGUUGUGAAGCGUGUUACCUGAGCCCUUGGCGCGGUUAGGAACAUGUGCGCACAGAACAUUAUAAGGCUCUGCCAUCUACAGAAUACAGAAAUGUGGUCUAUUUGGGAGAAAACAGUCUUGUGCAGAGUGGGCUCCCGUGAAGCUAUAAAGUGAGAUGUUAUCUCGAUGAGCCACUUUUGCCAUCUAGAGAUGUGGUGGCCAGCCAGGCAGAGAGGAAUCCCGCUGAAUGAGUGAAAAGCUAUCCACUGCUGAAAGUACCCAUGCUGGGAGCCAGAUGUCUCUAAUUCUCGGAGCAUGCCGCAUAUUCCAGAACAUCACUGCUCCAUAAAACAUUACUAGAUUCCAUUUGUGUGUCUCGGAACUUCAAAGUUAUUGCACUGAAUAGAAGAGACUCUGUAUGUCCCCAAAGGAUUUGGUUUCUUAAGGAUUUAUCUUGCUACCUGAGGAGUGCCAUUGUCUAGCUCAUUUACUGUUUAUCAUCCUCACCACUCAGCUAUCACAGACUAAAGAAAACAGGCAGAAAUUUUGCAGGGGCCAAGGGGAAACCUGCUAAGAAUUGCUAAGUUAUUCAGGAAUUCACGAAGCUGGUUGUUUCUUCAAUUAGUUUCCCUUCCAUAGUCGCCCACCAAAGGGUGCUUUAGCCUUACAACAACCCUGUGAGGUAGGUUGGACAUGCUAUCCAUGCAUCUGUUCUGUAAGCACUUGCACUUGCUGAGUGUUUUUAAAAAGUGCUUUAAAGCCAUCAAACAAUAUGACGUUGGGCAUCUGAGACAUUUAAGCCGCAGAGGAACAGGCAGUGGCUGUGCUACGUUGCAGCCUCCCUUCCGGUUCUGCCAUUAGACUGAGCAGUCCCACCUCAAGUAGUAGAUCUGGGGUCACCAUCAAGAGGAAGCAGCUCCCAAUUAGUAGAUAGUGCAGGACCCUUUAAGAAGCUGCAAGAAGAAGACAUGCAAAAGUGGAUCCUACCCUAGUGGCCCCUUCACCCAACCUCCUCCUCUCCCUGCCUGCUGCAAGAUGCUCUGCGAGUACAGUAAACUUGCUGCUGCAAGCAGGAACUGUGCAGAAAAGCUGAAGGUCUGUGUGAUCACUGAGCUGGUCAGCUCCAAUGGCUACGCACACCCUGCACUACUCUGUGAUGCAAC